rnacentral:lncRNA from 1 species
AAUCGUGCAACUUUCAUUGUCUUUAAUUUACCAAAUACAUGUAUUUAUUUAGGCAUAAAAUUAAAUACAAGAAUAAUUAAAAGUAAAUCAUACAAUUCAUUGAAAAUCAAUUCAUUGAAAGGAAAUAAGGAUCCAAACAAGUAAUAGACUAGCUACAUAAAUCCAAACCCUAAGAAGAGUUUAGUCACGUAUGAUUGCGGCAAUAAACAUAAACAUCAUUAAAGAAAUCAAAGAAGAAAAAAAAAUAAUUAAUUCAAACUCUUGAAUCUUUGCACAAAUCUUCUUGAUCUCCUUGAAUAAGUCUUCAAAAGCUUAUAACUAUUCUAAAAUAGCUAUUUGUCCCCCCUUUUAUAGUCAAGACUCAAAGGAAAUCCUAUCUUACCCUAAGUCUCUAAGUUUCUUGUGAAAGAAAACUCUCUUUUACUCGACACAGCUUAGCACAAGGCCAUGUCACGUCCUUCGCCUUACGGCACGGCUUAGCACAUGCCCGUGUGUAAUACUAUGCUAAACUUUCACAAUUUCUUCUAUUCGGGCAAAAAUAGUCACAGUUUGGAGCACGCCCGUGUGAUACUUGUGCGUCAUACUCUUCAAUAUCUAGAGGUAGACACAACUUCUAGUACAGCCAUGUGUCAAGUCAUACUUUUUGGUCCUUCUUUCAGUGUGUGACAUGGGCACAAACACAGUCGUGAUUAGCCAUGACAUAACUUUCAUGAUCGUUUAGGAUUCAUUUCUCAUCUUUCCUAAAAAUAAAAGGGAAAACUUAUCAAAUCAAGUACACAUUCAUAAAUAAACCAAAAGUAAAUAAAAUAAUUAAAUAAUGGGAUAACUUAAGUAAACUCCUAAUUAAGCCUAAAUUCUUCCUAAUUAAUACUAACUAUUUAUUGAAAAGUAUAAAAAUUCAACUCAAAAACGUGUAAAAUUACACACAACAUCUUUCUUUUCAGUUCUAUCAUAAUCUCCUUUUCCAUCUUCAUUUUCAUUCUUUUGUUCACCAAACUUUGAACUAAAAUACUCAAUAAAUUAAAAGAAAUAACUAAACAAUUAGUAUAGGAAAGGUAUAUAUUACAGAUAUAAAUAGUAUAUACUAAAAUAAUGGUUACCUCAAAAUAAUGGUUACUAGCUCGAAAAUCAGAAGAUUGAACCUUAGACUUAAUUUCAUAAAAGGAAAGAGAAACAAAAAAAAUUGCUUCUCCAAAUAAUCUUUCAAAUAAGUAAAUUCAGAAAAUAAUUUUUCUUGCUGACAAAUAAGUAUAAUUAUUUUCUAAAUUUCUUAUAUGAAGAAUCAACACUAGAGCUACUACUCUUUGGAAUCUUUGAAGAUGAUGCUCCAACAGAAAAUCAUCAUUAUCAUCAUCAUCAUCAUCAUUAUCAACAUCAUUCAUAUUUCAACUUAAGUUGCUUCUUCUUAUCAGAAGUAGAAAAAUAAUUAUUCAACUUCAAUUGCACAACAUACACUAAAAACUUAAAAAAAUAUAUAUUAAAAAUAUAAAAUUAUGAAUUAAAAAAAUAAANNNUAAUAAAAAACAAAACUUACCAACCAUAAAAGGACAACAUUCAUAAAACCAUGUCUAAGACAAAAGCGAAAAACCAAUUAUUCUACAAAACAAUUUUCUCAUUUCCUUCCACCUUUUUCAUAUUCAAAAUUUUGCUCCUUGCUCACAACUUGCUUUCUCAAACAAUCAAUGGUAACAUUAAAACUUAUCUACUCCAAGCAUACUCAUCAAAUUUAUCACUAUCCAUAAUAUCAAAAGCAGAAUUUGGAAUCAAUUUAUCAUAAGGUGAACUCAAAAAAACAUGUGAAUAAAGUAUAAAACAACUAUCUUAACAGCAUCAUCAUCACUAUCCCAUCUCUUAUACAAAAAAAAAAUUCUUCUAUAGACUGCUUAUUUAUUUUCUUUACACCACGAAGAUACUUAUCCAAAAGUCUAUUUGAAUCCUGGGAAAAAAGCUUAACCUAUUCCAUUCACCUUAACAAUUUAAACUAAUAACAAGAGCAAAUUCAUCAAUACCAAAUUUCAGUUUAACAUCAUUUACCAAUAUCCGCAAUUCAUCCUCAUUUGGUUAAUCCAAUUUCCUCAAAAGAAAAUAAUGAACAAACUAAGGUUGUAACUUAAAAUUAAAAAUAUUAAGAAAAUUUCCAAAAUAUGUAUCUUUAAACAAUUUUAACUGCUCAACAGAAAGAGUAGAUUUCAAUUACGAAGUAACAUCAAAGCACAAGAUUGAAUUUCAACUUUGCCAGAAAAAUAAUCCUCAGACUUGAUAUUAUACUUCCAUUUCUAAAAGACACAAAAACAAAACAAAUAAAAAUUAAAAUAGAUUCUAAAACCACUAAAUAAAAAAUGGUCAAACAUAUUAACAAAAUAAACCAAACAUAUACAAGAUUUUAAAAAGAAAAUCAACAUUUACUAGAAUACUAAAAACCGACACAAGCAAAAAAAUCAAACAUAAUCAAAAACCAAAUUAAAAUAUAAACCAAAAACAAUAAACAUAUGUCAUUAAAGUAAAUGAAAAAAUAAAUAUAUAACAGUAAGAAUUAAAAAUAAGAAACAAAUAAAGAAACAAAUAAAGAAACAAACUUCUUUUUUUAGCAUUUCAUCAAAUAAUUUAAGUGCAUGCAAAAAUAUAAUUAAUAAUUAAUAAUAUAUAAUAAACUCAUAUUAUAACAUAUAAAAAUUGAUGAAAUGAAUAAGAAAACUAAAUAUAUACUAUAAACAUGAAAAGAAAAACUAACAUUCGAUUUGGAUUCAGAAGACUCCUAAAUGAAAAAUGUUCUUCGUUUUAAAUAUUUCACAAUAUCAAAUGUUGAUAAAUCCCUCUUCUUUGACUAUCUUUCUUCAAUAUUUUUCUUCUGAAAUAAACUUCCAAUUCCAAGAACAUUAUCAAAUUUGGGAUAAAUUUCUUAUUC